GGGAGGUGGCAGGUGACAUGGCAGAGAUUUGAGCCGUCGCCGUCACUCACAGUAAUGUAGUUGUUGCUUUCUUGCAGAUGUCAGCUUCAUGGUUCAUUAACGGUGUUUGGUUUAGGGGGAGCCGAAGAGAAAGAGGAUAAAAGACGAAAAGACAGGUAGAGAUGGAAGGGACUGGGCGGCGAGGGAAGUAAUUGGCAACAUAAAUGAACCCCGGUGUGGCGCUGACACUGUCCACGUUAGUAGACUGCAGAUGAAAACGAGUGUGAACGGCAGUUCUGUGCUGGACAUGGCGGCUUUGAGGACACCUGAAGUGUGAGGGACACACCCACCCACCAUGAUGUUACAGAUCCACAGCUCAGGACAUGCAUCCCCACAAGCGUGGACGAAAAUCCCCAAUCCCACCAAAAGUUAAACCAAAUCCCAUUCCAUAUUCCAUACCUCUACUUGCUAUGAGUGUGUACACUUCAAUAAGGAGGAUCACUUGCCACAGAACAGUAGACCACUGACAAGCCUUGUGUACCCGCUAUUCAAAGCUCAACAGCAGCACACUACUUUAACCUAGAUCGCCAUCUAGUGAUCGUGUUCAGCAUGACUCCUCUGACACCACCAGCAACCUCACCACACACGUUUCUAUGUUGUAACAGAUCGAGGAAAUGUUUCCUAUCAGCAGGAUGUCUGUAUGGGAUUUUAGGCAUUUUGCUUUUAACCGUAUGUUUAUGUGUGUUCACACAUAAAGUGCAGAAACUUGCUUUUGUUCUGACAUGUUUUGUAAUCCGGUACAAGUAAAAUCUGUUUUUCAAAAGGUGUAUUUAUAUGGUCAUGUCAUCGUGAAAGGUUGUCUCGCUGUUAGGCUGAGGAUCAAUACAUUCUUGUUGCUUCUGGUGACAGUUAAAUUACUAAUUUCCAGAAAUGGCUUUCAAGGAAAUGAACAAUGGAAUCAUUAGUUGCAACUUGGAUGUCUGCUUCUCGGUAGCUUGUUUUUAGUGUUGUCAUGCCAUGUUUAAGAUUGUUUAAGAUUUCCUAAACACAACCUUAUUGUUGACUUUUUAUCAGUGCAAUUCAGUACUGUAUCUGCAAAAUGUUUAGGAUUUCAUAAAAUAACCUUGUUUUUGGCUAUUGGUCGAUGUCAUAUUGAAUGGACCAGACACUGUAACUCGUUUUUGUUGUUGUUUCAUUUCGUGACAGCCUUCUAUCUCCAAAUAUAUUUGAGGAAAACAAUCGUUUUGGGGCGGUCAGUGCAGAUGUGAACGGACCCUUUAAUUUAUUUGAAAUGUUGUCAUCGUAUUUAAGCGAAAAACAUGAAAAUAAUACAAAAUGGACUUGUUCGUUUUUCACACGGAGGCUUCUUGUGAGUAAUAAAGACUGCAUGUUUGGAGAAGAA